rnacentral:tRNA from 1 species
CCUUCGAUAGCUCAGUUGGUAGAGCGGUGGACUGUAGUAUGAUUGUGAAUAAAAGAAGCAGUAAUCCAUAGGUCGCUGGUUCAAAUCCGGCUCGAAGGA